CUAUAAACGUGAAUGCCCCGGUUUAUGAGACAUUUUACUAGGUGUACCAUGUAACACGGACAUGUGUAUUUCGGCUUGUCCCGAUUAAGUGAGACGGUGUACAUUUAUAAGAUUUUAUAUUGUUAAUAUGUUAUAUUAAUUAUAAAAAUAGUGCAAUUAUAUGUCAUAAAAUAUUGGCUGUUAUUAAAACCUCAAAUAUUUUUCUAAAAGCUAAGUAAAAAGUAAUUUAUAAUAAAAAGCUGAGAUAAUGAGGCAUAAACAAAAUCCUAAAGAGACAAAAACUCAAUCAUCAAAUUCAACCAAAAAAAAGUGUUGUGUUCCAAUGUGAAUAAUAAACUGAAGAAAAAAAAGUUAAAAGGCUUAAGUAAUUAUGAUUCGUCAAAUAUAGAAAAAGCUUUAAAAGCAGUAGAAGACACAGAGAUGUCCUUGAGAAAAGCAGCUGCUGUUUAUGGAGUACCGAUUGCUACCUUUGUUAGAUGAAAAAGUAUUAGUCCUGAGAAGGCAAAAAUUAGAACUGAGCCAGCGACAGUAUUAUCUUUAAAAGAAGAGGAUGUUAUUGUUCAGUUGUUAUUCUACAGAGCAGCAAUAGGGUCACCUGUGACGAAAACUGACUUAUUAAAGAUUCUUGUCUAAGGACAAUCAUUCUAAUGUGAUAAACUGUGAAUAAAAUAAUUUAACUAAUGAUGGACAACUUUUUACGGUUAUAUAUGAAUCUAGUCAAGUUAGUCUUCAAGAAUCAUUAACUGAUAGCAAUAAUGUAAUACGGUGCCCUUCUAAAGACUUUAGUGUCUUUAAUUAAGAUGAUCCUCUCUACAUUCCUUUCUCAAUCCUUUCCUACCAAUAUCCUGUUACGUGAAUGUGGAACGC
rnacentral:lncRNA from 1 species